UGCCAGGUAUUGUACCGUGCAAGUGGCGUC
rnacentral:piRNA from 1 species